AUUGAACGCUGGCGGCAUGCUUUACACAUGCAAGUCGAACGGUAACAGGCCGCAAGGUGCUGACGAGUGGCGAACGGGUGAGUAAUGCAUCGGAACGUGCCCAGUCGUGGGGGAUAACUACUCGAAAGAGUAGCUAAUACCGCAUACGAUCUAUGGAUGAAAGCGGGGGACCGUAAGGCCUCGCGCGAUUGGAGCGGCCGAUGUCAGAUUAGGUAGUUGGGGGGGUAAAGGCUCACCAAGCCAACGAUCUGUAGCUGGUCUGAGAGGACGACCAGCCACACUGGGGCUGAGACACGGCCCAGACUCCUACGGGAGGCAGCAGUGGGGAAUUUUGGACAAUGGGCGCAAGCCUGAUCCAGCAAUGCCGCGUGCAGGAAGAAGGCCUUCGGGUUGUAAACUGCUUUUGUACGGAACGAAACGGCUCUGGUUAAUACCCGGGGCUAAUGACGGUACCGUAAGAAUAAGCACCGGCUAACUACGUG
rnacentral:rRNA from 1 species